rnacentral:rRNA from 1 species
GACGAACGCUGGCGGCGUGCUUAACACAUGCAAGUCGAACGGAAAGGCCCUGCUUUUGUGGGGUUCUCGAGUGGCGAACGGGUGAGUAACACGUGAGUAACCUGCCCUUGACUUUGGUAUAACUUCAGGUAACUGGGGCUACUACCGUAUCGGAGCUCCUGCUCCAUGGUGGGGGUUGGAACGUUUCGGCGGUUGGGGAUGGAUUCGCGGCUUAUCAGCUAGCUGGUUGGCUAGUGGCUGACCAAGCCUUUGGCGGGUAGCCGGCAUGAGAGGGGAGACGGCGACAAGGGGACUGAGAUACGGACCAGACUCCUACGGGAGGCAGCAGGGGGGAAUAUUGCACAAUGAGCGGAAGCGUGAUGCAGAAACGCCGCGUGCGGGAUGACGGCUUGCGGGGUGUGAACCGCUGUAGCCUGUGACGAAGCGGGAGUGACGGUAAUGGGUAAAGAAGCACCGGCUAACUACGUG